GCUGAACGCUGGCGGCGUGCUUAAUACAUGCAAGUCGAGCGAGAAUUAUGGGAGUGGAGACUUCGGUUGAAGCGAUCAUAAUGAAAGCGUCGGACAGGUGAGUAACGCGUGAGCAAUCUGACCCAUACAAAGGGAUACCUACUGGAAACGGUGAUUAAUACCUUAUAAGACCACAGAGACGCAUGGAUCGGGCGUCAAAGUUUUAUCGGUAUGGGAUGAGCUCGCGUCGGAUUAGCUAGUUGGUGAGGUAAUAGCUCACCAAGGAGACGAUCAGCAGCCGACCUGAGAGGGUGAACGGCCACACUGGAACUGAGACACGGUCCAGACUCCGACGGGAGGCAGCAGUAGGGAAUAUUGCACAAUGGGCGCAAGCCUGAUGCGGCAACGCCGCGUGAAUGAUGAAGGCCUUCGGGUCGUAAAGUUCUGUCCUAAGGGAAGAAUACAGUGACGGUACCUUAGGUGGAAGCCCCGGCUAACUACGUGCCAGCCGCCGCGGUAACAC
rnacentral:rRNA from 1 species